GAUGAACGCUGGCGGCGUGCCUAAUACAUGCAAGUCGAGCGAACGGACGAGAAGCUUGCUUCUCUGAUGUUAGCGGCGGACGGGUGAGUAACACGUGGAUAACCUACCUAUAAGACUGGGAUAACUUCGGGAAACCGGAGCUAAUACCGGAUAAUAUUUUGAACCGCAUGGUUCAAAAGUGAAAGACGGUCUUGCUGUCACUUAUAGAUGGAUCCGCGCUGCAUUAGCUAGUUGGUAAGGUAACGGCUUACCAAGGCAACGAUGCAUAGCCGACCUGAGAGGGUGAUCGGCCACACUGGAACUGAGACACGGUACAGACUCCUACGGGAGGCAGCAGUAGGGAAUCUUCCGAAAUGGGCGAAAGCCUGACGGAGCAACGCCGCGUGAGUGAUGAAGGUCUUCGGAUCGUAAAACUCUGUUAUUAGGGAAGAACAUAUGUGUAAGUAACUGUGCACAUCUUGACGGUACCUAAUCAGAAAGCCACGGCUAACUACGUG
rnacentral:rRNA from 1 species